AGAAAUCGUACAUCAAUAUCACGCAGGUAGUUAAUGAAGGAUCACUGACAACGACAAUGAAGCCAAGAAGUCUUUCUGGUGAAGAUGGGUCAGAGUAAAUGCAUGAACCAUAGUUAUGUUAGUUCGCCUUUUUCACACUUCUAAAUAUUCUCGGCAGUCAAGUGACACUAUAAGUAAUUAAUAUCCCUCGAAGACAAUAAGCAAGUUUGAAAAUUUACGGCGUUUUAGCUAUAGACACACGGAUUGCUGUAUAUUGAUAUAAGAAAUACAUAUAUACGUGUUACACUUAUAAAGAAAUCGAGGUUGAUUUUGUAAAUGGUGCAGUUUCUUUUGUUUUACCUGCGUCAUAUAUACUCUAUACCUUUUGUAUGUUAAUAUAUUAACUCUUCACUUAAACUUUUUUGGGACAUAUUUGUUGGAUUU